GCCAGGAUGGUCUAGUGGUAUGAUUCUUGCUUUGGGUGCAAGAGAUCCCGGGUUCGAUUCCCGGUCCUGGCC
rnacentral:tRNA from 1 species